ACCACAGGUGCCUGGGAUAUUUAAAGCAGGUUCAAGAAAACAAAACACACAUCUACCCGUUAAUGUUGUCUUCUCCAAUGUGCAGGACACAGUGAUCGUCCAUCUCUGGAGGAUGCAGCAUUCAAGGCGCUGUCUGGAAAGAGAGCAGACGCUCACCAGACCACCCAGCCUGUGGGCACCUUGAUCCUGUGCUCUGAGCCUCCAGAACUAGCCCCAGUGCUAAUCAACCAUCACACUCAGAGCCAUACAUGAGGGCAGAGCCUGGCCCACGGACAGGGAGGUCCCCACGUGUGAAGGAU